GAUGAAGAACGUAGUGAAAUGCGAUAAGUAAUGUGAAUUGCAGAAUUCAGUGAAUCAUCGAAUCUUUGAACGCAUCUUGCGCUCCUUGGUAUUCUGAGGAGCAUGCCUGUUUGAGUGUCAUUAAAUUCUCAACUACACUGACUUUGAAUUGGUGUGGCUUGGAUUUGGGGGGAAAAUUGUUGUGGGCUUUUUGUAUAGUCUUCUCCCCUGAAAUUGAUUAGCGGUACCUUUGUGGAACUGUCUACAGGUGUGAUAAUUAUCUACAUCUUAGACAUCUGCUGGAAUGCUGCUUUCUAAACCUUACUUGUAUUGACAAUCUUGACCUCAAAUCAGGUAGGACUACCCGCUGAACUUAAGCAUAUCAAUAAGCGGAGGA
rnacentral:misc_RNA from 1 species